GACCUAGAGCUUCUCACAAACACCCUCAAAAAGAACGGUCAGAAGCAUCAAGUGAGACUGCACAGACUCAACGCUACAGGACCAAAGGGCACUACAGGGACGCAAAGCAACCUUUCCACCCUGAGGAGAAAAAUAUUCAUUAAAGAAUAAAAAGAUGGGUGCACAGUGACUUCUGAAUGGCACUGCUAGAACCAAAUGGGCGGUGCUGGUGUAGCUGGCAACAGGAGCGCUGGCAGCAAAUGCUUACCUGUGCCCUGCAUGGUGGUGGUGCCAGCAAAGGCUAUUGCAAUGCACAGCAGCACACAAAUAAAGACCGAGUCCUUCUCGUUUCGAAAGGCCUGCUAUGUCAAGGGAAGUUUUCCGUGGCCUUUAAAGUGACAGGAGAUUGAUCAAAGAAGGGCAGGCAAUGAGAGUCCAGCUCAGUGACAGUCGCUGGAAGAACAGAGCCCAAAUCUUCCACCGGCCUAAAGUCUGCAACCUUCUCA